AAGUCGUAACAAGGUUUCCGUAGGUGAACCUGCGGAAGGAUCAUUAAAGAAUAUCGAGCUUCACAGCUCUUAUUCUUCACCCUUUGUAUAUCAAACUUUUGGUUGCCUUUGGCAGCGCCUUUUGAGGGGCCUGCCCAGAGGGACCUAAAACCCCUAGAAUCUCUGCCGUCUGAGUACUAUACAAUAGUUAAAA
rnacentral:misc_RNA from 1 species